rnacentral:lncRNA from 1 species
UCCAUAUAUGAUCAUCAAAACGAAUACAAAUUCUUGCAAAAAUAGGAAAAGAAAGAGUGAUGUUUUUUUUUUGUUCAAAGAAAGAGUGAUGUUUAAACAAAGCUUUCCACAAAUUAUACAAGAAACAAACAACUGUUUUUCAUACUAUAUAGUUUUAAAGUUUUUAUUUCAUUUAUAAACAAAACAAUUAACGGCAACGGGAGCACGACAAGUAUGAUAAUGUCGGGAAGAAAAGUUAAACGGCAAAUCUCCAAAAUAGCACAUUUCUAAGUUUAUAUCACAAAAAUAGCACUCAAAAACUAAAAUGACCAAAAUAGUACUUUUCUAAUUUUAUCUUUUGAAAAUUUUAAUUUUUUUAUUUUUCAAAAUUUGAAAUCUUAACCCCAAAACCUCAUUUCUAAACUCUAAACCCUAAACCCUAAACCCUAAACCCUAAACUCUAAACCGUAAACACUAAACUCUAAACCCUAAACCCUAAACUCUAAACCCUAAACCCUAAAAUUUAAACCGUAAACCCUAAACCCUAAACCCUAAACCCUAAAUCCUAAACCCCACCAUU